GUAACUAUAGUUUAUAAAAACAUUAGAUUGUGAAUCUAAAAAUAAAGACUAAACCCUUUUAGUUACC
rnacentral:tRNA from 1 species